rnacentral:rRNA from 1 species
CAAGUGACUAAGAGCAUGUGGUGG